rnacentral:rRNA from 1 species
CUGGCGGCGUGCCUAACACAUGCAAGUCGAACGGACGAGGGGAGCUUGCUCCCGAGUAGUGGCGGACGGGUGAGUAACACGUGAGCAACCUGCCUUCGAGGGGACAACAGUUGGAAACGACUGCUAAUACCGCAUGACGUAUUCUGGAGGCAUCUCCGGGAUACCAAAGAUUCUAUCGCCGAAGGAUGGGCUCGCGUCUGAUUAGAUAGUUGGUGAGGUAACGGCCCACCAAGUCGACGAUCAGUAGCCGGACUGAGAGGUUGAACGGCCACAUUGGGACUGAGAUACGGCCCAGACUCCUACGGGAGGCAGCAGUGGGGAAUAUUGGGCAAUGGGGGCAAACCCCUGACCCAGCAACGCCGCGUGAAGGAAGAAGGCUUUCGGGUUGUAAACUUCUUUGACGAGGGACGAUAGUGACGGUACCUCGAAAACAAGCCACGGCUAACUACGUGCCAGCAGCUGC